UGAUUUUUUUUUUUUUUGAAGGGUUUUUUGUGUCUCUUUCUCCUUCAGUUCUGCUCUGAUCUUAGUCAUUUCUUGUCUUCUGCUAGUCUUUGAAUGUGUUUGCUCUUGCUUCUCUAAUAUUCUUCCAUCCCUUUAUUUUGAGCCUUUAUGUGUCUUUGCAUGUGAGAUUGGUCUCCUGAAUACAGCACACUGAUGGGUCUUGACUCUUUAUCUAAUUUGCCAGUCUGUGUCUUUUAAUUGGGGCAUUUAUCCCGUUUAUAGUUAAGGUUAAUAUUUUUAUGUGUGAAUUUGAUCCUGUCAUUAUGAUGCUAGCAGGUUAUUUUGCCCAUUAGUUGAUGCAGUUUCUUCAUAGUGUCAAUGGUCUUUACAAUGUGGGUUUUUUUUUUUUUUUUUUUUUUUCCAGUGGCUGGUACUUGUUUUUCUUUUCCAUGUUUAGUGAUUCCUUCAGGAGCUCUUGUAAGGCAGGC
rnacentral:lncRNA from 1 species